GGACUACUGGGGUAUCUAAUCCUGUUUGCUCCCCACGCUUUCGCGCUCCAGCGUCAGUGGUGGGCCAAAAGGCCGCCUUCGCAACCGGUAUUCCUCUCGAGAUCUACGCAUUUUACCGCUACUCCGAGAAUUCUACCUUUCUCUCCCACACUCUAGCUUAUCAGUUUUAAUCGCGAUUGCCCGGUUAAGCCGGGCGAUUUAACAACUAACUUAACAAACCGCCUCCACGCUCUUUACGCCCAGUCAUUCCGAAUAACGCUCGCACCCUUCGUAUUACCGCGGCUGCUGGCAC
rnacentral:rRNA from 1 species